GAACGGCAGCAUGAUCUAGCUUGCUAGAUUGAUGGCGAGUGGCGAACGGGUGAGUAAUACAUCGGAACGUGCCCUGUAGUGGGGGAUAACUAGUCGAAAGAUUAGCUAAUACCGCAUACGACCUGAGGGUGAAAGUGGGGGACCGCAAGCCUCAUGCUAUAGGAGCGGCCGAUGUCUGAUUAGCUAGUUGGUGAGGUAAAGGCUCACCAAGGCGACGAUCAGUAGCUGGUCUGAGAGGACGAUCAGCCACACUGGGACUGAGACACGGCCCAGACUCCUACGGGAGGCAGCAGUGGGGAAUUUUGGACAAUGGGCGAAAGCUUGAUCCAGCAAUGCCGCGUGUGUGAAGAAGGCCUUCGGGUUGUAAAGCACUUUUGUCCGGAAAGAAAUGGCUCUGGUUAAUACCUGGGUCGAUGACGGUACCGGAAGAAUAAGGACCGGCUAACUACG
rnacentral:rRNA from 1 species